GCAUAUCAAUAAGCGGAGGAAAAAGAAACCAACAGGGAUUGCCCUAGUAACGGCGAGUGAAGCGGCAACAGCUCAAAUUUGAAAUCUGGCUUUCGGGCCCGAGUUGUAAAUUUGUAGAGGAAGCUUUUGGCGCGGCACCUUCUGAGUCCCCUGGAACGGGGCGCCAUAGAGGGUGAGAGCCCCGUAUAGUUGGAUGCCUAGCCUUUGUAAAGCUCCUUCGACGAGUCGAGUAGUUUGGGAAUGCUGCUCAAAAUGGGAGGUAAAUUUCUUCUAAAGCUAAAUACCGGCCAGAGACCGAUAGCGCACAAGUAGAGUGAUCGAAAGAUGAAAAGCACUUUGAAAAGAGGGUUAAAUAGCACGUGAAAUUGUUGAAAGGGAAGCGCUUGUGACCAGACUUGCGCCGGGCUGAUCAUCCGGUGUUCUCACCGGUGCACUCUGCCCGGCUCAGGCCAGCAUCGGUUCUCGUGGGGGGACAAAGGUCCUGGGAACGUAGCUCCUCCGGGAGUGUUAUAGCCCAGGGCGUAAUGCCCCCGCGGGGACCGAGGCUCGCGCUCUGCAAGGAUGCUGGCGUAAUGGUCACCAGCGACCCGUCUUGAAACACGGACCAAGGAGUCAAGGUUUUGCGCGAGUGUUUGGGUGUAAAACCCGCACGCGUAAUGAAAGUGAACGUAGGUGAGAGCUUCGGCGCAUCAUCGACCGAUCCUGAUGUAUUCGGAUGGAUUUGAGUAAGAGCGUUAAGCCUUGGACCCGAAAGAUGGUGAACUAUGCUUGGAUAGGGUGAAGCCAGAGGAAACUCUGGUGGAGGCUCGCAGCGGUUCUGACGUGCAAAUCGAUCGUCAAAUCUGAGCAUGGGGGCGAAAGACUAAUCGAACCAUCUAGUAGCUGGUUACCGCCGAAG
rnacentral:rRNA from 1 species